GGUUAAGUUACUAAGAGCGUAUGGGGGAUGCCUAGGCUCUCAGAGGCUAAGAAGGACGUGCCAAGCUGCGAAAAGCUACGGGGAAUUGCUGAGGAAUAUUGAUCCGUAGAUAUCCGAAUGGGGCAACCCGUCAUCUAUAUGAUGACCUAAGGCCAACCCGCUGAACUGAAACAUCUAAGUAAGCGGAGGAAAAGAAAAUAACAAUGAUUCCCUAAGUAGUGGCGAGCGAACGGGGAAGAGCCCAAACCAAUUAUGUUUCGGCAUAAUUGGGGUUGAAGGACUGCAAUGUGGACUAUAUAACGAAGUUGAAUUACCUGGAAAGGUAAGCAGCAUAGAGUGAAAGCCUCGUAAACGUAAGUUUAUAUUACCUAGCAGUAUCCUGAGUAGCGCGGGGUCGGAGACGCCUUGCGUGAAACUGCCAGCACCAUCUGGUAAGGCUAAAUACUACUGAGAGACCGAUAGUGAACCAGUACUGUGAAGGAAAGGUGAAAAGAAUCUUGAAUAAAGAAGUUAAAAGAACCUGAAACCAUACGCGUUACAAGCGGUAGGAGCCCUACGGGGUGACUGCGUGCCUUUUGCAUAAUGAGCCUACGAGUUAGUCCUUACUAGCGAGGUUAAGUUCUUCAGGAACGAAGCCGAAGCGAAAGCGAGUCUGAAUAGGGCGCUUAGUUAGUAGGGCUAGACGCGAAACCUGAGUGAUCUACCCAUGAGCAGGAUGAAGGUGCCGUAACAGGUACUGGAGGUCCGAACUGGUGAACGUUGAAAAGUUCUCGGAUGACUUGUGGGUAGGGGUGAAAGGCUAAUCAAACUGGGAGAUAGCUCGUACUCCCCGAAAUGUUUUUUGGAACAGCCUCGGUUAAAAGUGUCGUAGAGGUAGAGCUACCAAUUGGGUGAGGGGGAGUCAAAUCCUACCGAGCUCAGAUGAACUCCGAAUACUACAGACAUGUUUACCGGGAGUGAGCCCUUGGGUGCUAAGGUCCUAGGGCGAGAGGGAAAGAACCCAGACCAUCAGCUAAGGUCUCCAAAUCCGGAUUAAGUUGAACAAACGAGGUUUAAUCGCAUAGACAGCUAGGAUGUUUGCUUGGAAGCAGCCAUUCAUUUAAAGAGUGCGUAACAGCUCACUAGUCGAGCGAUUAAGCGCGGAUGAUAAACGGGCAUCAAAUCCGGUACCGAAGCUAUGGAUUCAUAUCAAGAGAUAUGAGUGGUAGGGGAGCAUUCUAAGUGCGCAGAAGGUGAAACGUGAGUUUUGCUGGAGCGUUUAGAAAAGCCAAUGUAGGCAUAAGUAACGAUAAGGAAGGUGAGAAACCUUCCCACCGAUAGACUAAGGUUUCCUGAUCAACGUUAAUCGGAUCAGGGUUAGUCGGGACCUAAGGAUAAGCGGAGAAGCGAAUCCGAUGGAUAUCAGGUUAAUAUUCCUGAACCUUUUGUAGAGCGAAGUGGUGACGCAGGAGUGAAAGAUUCGCGAACUGACGGAAUAGUUCGUUAAAGCUUGUAGAUAAAUUUAUUGUAGGCAAAUCCGCAAUAGAUGUCGAAGGUGAUAGUACUCAGCGUCUUCGGACAAUGAGAUAGUAAUCCUAAUCCAACUGCCAAGAAAACCCGCUAGCUUAAUCUACAAAAGCCCGUACCACAAACCGACACAGGUAGUCUAGGAGAGAAUCCUGAGGUGCUCGAGUGAUUCACGGUUAAGGAACUCGGCAAAUUAACCCUGUAACUUCGGGAAAAAGGGAGCCUUCUUCGGAAGGCCGCAGAGAAAUGGCUCAGGCGACUGUUUAACAAAAACACAUGGCUAUGCAAAAUCGAAAGAUAACGUAUAUGGCCUGACACCUGCCCGGUGCUGGAAGGUUAAGAGGGGAUGUCAUCCGGCUUGUCUGGAGAAGCAUUGAAUCGAAGCCCCAGUAAACGGCGGCCGUAACUAUAACGGUCCUAAGGUAGCGAAAUUCCUUGUCGGGUAAGUUCCGACCUGCACGAAUGGUGUAACGAUCUGAGCACUGUCUCAACCGUGAGCUCGGUGAAAUUGUGGUAUCGGUGAAGACGCCGGUUAAUCGCAUCGGGACGGAAAGACCCCGUGCACCUUUACUAUAGCUUUGCAUUGACUUUGGGUAAAUAAUGUGUAGGAUAGGCGGGAGACUGUGAGAUGGUGUCGCCAGGCAUCAUGGAGUCAACCUUGAAAUACCGCCCUUUGUUUAUUUGGAGUCUAACCCUGUUAAUCGGGGGACAUUGCAUGGUGGGUAGUUUGACUGGGGUGGUCGCCUCCAAAAAAGUAUCGGAGGCUUCUAAAGGUCUGCUCAGUACGCUUGGUAACCGUACGAAGAGUGCAAUAGCAUAAGCAGGCUUGACUGUGAGGCAAACAAGCCGAGCAGGUACGAAAGUAGAGUAUAGUGAUCCGGUGGUUCUGCAUGGAAGGGCCAUCGCUCAUAGGAUAAAAGGUACGCCGGGGAUAACAGGCUGAUCUCCCCCAAGAGCUCAUAUCGACGGGAGGUUUGGCACCUCGAUGUCGGCUCGUCACAUCCUGGGGCUGGAGAAGGUCCCAAGGGUUCGGCUGUUCGCCGAUUAAAGUGGCACGCGAGCUGGGUUCAGAACGUCGUGAGACAGUUCGGUCCCUAUCUGAUGUGAUCGUUGGAAGUUUGAGAGGAUCUGAUCUUAGUACGAGAGGACCGGGUCGGACGUACCUCUGGUGUAUCUGUUGUGGCGCCAGCUGCAUCGCAGAGUAGCUAAGUACGGACAAGAUAAGCGCUGAAAGCAUCUAAGCACGAAACUUACCUCAAGAUGAGACUUCCUUUAAGAGUCGUAGAAGACUACUACGUUGAUAGGCUGCAGAUGUAAAGAUGGUAACAUCAAAGUCGAGCAGUACUAAUUACUCGAAUACUUAACAAU
rfam:Bacteroidetes bacterium OLB11 TZ11_BCD004CONTIG000061, whole genome shotgun sequence.